AGGUCAAUUUUGGAAGAAUUUAUGUCUUUGUAAUAUUGAGUCUUCUCAAUGAGAAAAUCAAAACUAGAACUUCAGCCUACCUCUCAUUUAGAACUGGGGCUCUGAACAUGAAGGGAAUUAUUUGUGUUAUCCACGAUAAGGAAAGUCCUUGAGAGAAAAACAGGAAGGGGUUUCUUCCAGAUCCGAGAAUCCUUGGAUGUGGUCUCACAGAUGGUGUACUAUGCCAUUUGUACCAUUGGACACUUGAAUGAGCCAUU
rnacentral:lncRNA from 1 species